rnacentral:lncRNA from 1 species
AAUUCCCUUGCCUUUAUCGGAGGACUCACCACCUUAACAUAGUAUAAAAUCGAGAAACUUACUUCAUUGGUACUAAAUUGAAUUUAAACUAAUUUAGACUACUAAUGCAUGAUAUGGAAUGCAAAAUGCACUGGUAACCAUCUAAUCCCCGGUAUUGGCCUAAUCCGACUUAUCACUCGAUUAAUUGGCCAACGCAUCCAAUUUAGCUCCAAAUUGCUCCAUUUCUUUUCCAAUAUCUUAAUUCACCAAACUCAAGUCAAAUAAUCUAAAAUUUGGCAAAACUAUCUUCACUUUUCUUCUUAGAAUUUUCGGUCAAUAAUGGUGCAUUAACACCGUGAUUUUUCCUACUACUUUUGCACACCAUAAUUCAUCAUUUUCUAAUCAAUUCUCUUAAAAUAAAAAUCAAAUUCAUCCUCACUCAACACAAGGUAGGUUCGGCCAUUGAUGGGUGGUGGGGAAAAUAAAUUCUUUUCUUGUUGUUUUGUUUAUAGACAUGGUAAACUAACUAAAAACACUAACAUAACUUAGAAUCAAACCGAUCCAACCUCAUUCUCUCUCCAUACCCAUUCUGACUAGCCAUGAAUUCAUCAUGAAAACAUGUAAUUUAACCAUGGAAAAUGAGGAGAAAUGCGUGGGAAAGGUAGAUCACAAGUCAAAAUCAAGAAAUUUUACCUUUUGUCACUUGUUUCCUUGAAUUUCCCACACUUUUCUCUUGAAAUUCUUCACCUAGGGUUUUUGUUUUUCUUUUCUCCCUUUGUUCUUCUUGUUCUUGGUUUGGCCGGCCAUAUGAAGGAAAAUUAGGCUGAUUUUAUGCUUAUUUUAAAGCUAAAUAAAUAAUGGAUAUAAACUUGACACAUGUCACCACAUUAUUGGUCCAUUUGUAAUUUCUUAACUAUUUAGCUUUCUCUCUCCACCACUUGAAUUCCUUCAAUUAUCCAUGGUAAUAUUGGAUAAAAUCCAUGUGCUGGACAAGUGUUGGGUGUGUAAAAUUACAAUUUUUCCCCUAGGGUGGCAAAAUUACCAUUUUACCCCUAUGCUCCAAAAAAUACCAGGAUUAUGAUUUUUCACUUCUCAACCUCAAAUCAUACUCCAACAAGUCAAAUAUGAUCAAAAUAUUUCAAAAAAAUUCCCAUUUUGUCCUCGAGUGGCAAAAUUAUCAUUUUGCCCUUAGAUAGUGAAAUUUUCGGUUUGACUCCAAAUUGAUCUUCGAACUCCAUAUCACCAUUUUAAAUCAUCCUGGACUGUAAAAUUUUCAAUUUCACCCUAAAAUCUCUAUUUGAUCUAGUUUGAGGCUUAAAUCAACUUUGUUGUACCUCUAGGUACAAUACCUACUUUUGUAAAUUUUUUGGGACUUUCUUAACAUGCAAUCAUGCUAUCAUCACAUGUAUGUCAUGACAAGUAUUUUAUAAGAUCAGGCUUUACAGUACUACCGCCUUUAAAAUAAAAUUUUGACCUCAAAAUUUCACUUACUGGAUUCCAAAAAAAGAUGUGGAUAUUGGUUUCUCUUCCAUUCGAGCAUUUUUCCACAAUACUUUCACCAUUGGAAUACUCUUGUUCCUUAGCACUCGAUCCUUUCGAUCUAGAAUACGUACAGGCUGUACCUCAAACUUCAAAUCUUCAUGCAACUCAAUUGGUGGUUUCUCUAGAAUAUGAGAAGGAUCGGGAACAUACUUUUUCAACAUCGAGACGUGGAAGACAUUAUGAAUCUGAUCUAACUCCAAGGGUAAUUCAAGUCUAUAAGCCACUGGCCCAAUCCUUUCAAUGAUACGAAAGGGUCCAAUAUAUCUCGGAUUGAGCUUUCCCCGCUUCGUGAAUCGAAUCACACAUUUUAUUACCCAAUAAAAUACCACAAAUUAUCACAAUAGUGUAAUCAAAUAAAAUUUAAUACUUCAAAAUUUUCAAAUUAUUACCUUCCCAAGGAGAAACCUUAAGAAAAACUUUAUCGUCCAUUUCAAACUCCAAAUCUUUCCUUCAUUUAUAAGAAUAACUCUUCUGCCUAUCUUGAGCUAUCUUUAAUCACUCUCGAAUAACCUUGAUCUUGUCAUUUGUCAGAUCAAUCAAUUCCACAUUAACUAAUUUCCUCUCACCCACUUCAUCCCAACAGAGCGGAGUUCGACACUUCCUUCCAUACAAAGCCUAGUAUGGUGCCAUCCCAGUACUAGACUGAAAACUGUUAUUAUACGCGAACUCCACCAAUGGCAAGUGUCUGUCCCAACUCCCAAUAAAGUCAAUGACACAAGCCCGUAACCUAUCUUCUAGAGUCUGAAUAGUCCUUUCAGAUUGACCAUUAGUUUACGGAUGAAAGGCAAUACUAAAUCUCAAUUUAGUUCCGAGAGCUUCCCGAAAUUUUGGUCAAAAUUGUGAAGUAAAUCAGGGGUCUCAAUCUGAAACAAUAGAAACUGGAACUCCAUGUAAUCUCACAACCUCAUCUAUAUAAAGUUUCGCCAAUUUCUCAAUAGAAUACGUGCUAUGGAUAGCCAAGAAAUGGGCGGACUUAGUUAAUCUAUCCACAAUUACCCAAAUAGCAUCCUUCCCACUCUGUGUCCGUGGCAAACCCAAUACAAAGUCCAUAGUCACGUGUUCCCACUUCCAUUCUGGAAUAGGUAAAGGCUGAAGAGUACUUGAUGGUUUUUAAUGCUCCGCCUUGAUUUGUUGGCAUGUGAGACAUUUUGCUACAAACUCUGCUAUGUCUCGUUUCAUUCCCGACCACCAAUAACUUUCUUUAAUAGUCCGACACAUCUUGGUGCUUUCGGGAUGAAAAGCAUAGGCGAAAGAAUGAGCUUAUUCUAAAAUCGCUUGUCUCAACUGAUCAUCCUUCGGGACACAAAUUUGGUCUCUAAACAUUAAAGUACCAUCAUCACUGAGUCUAAAUUCACUAGUUUCUCCAUCAUGCAACUUUUGAACUUCCUGCUUCAACUCAUCAUCGGAUUUCUGCAAUUCUCCGAUUUGAUCCAACAAUGAAGGUCUCACAACGAAACUAGCAAGUAGGGUUCCAUCCUCACCAUUAUUCAACUGGAUCCCUAUAGAUUUCAUCUCAAGUAACAUCGAAAAAUAAGAACUCCAAAGUGUUGUUAACGACGAUGAAGAUUUAUGACUUAAAGCAUCCGCUACAACAUUUGCCUUUCCUGGAUGGUAAUCAAUUACUAACUCAUAAUCCUUGAUCAACUCUAGCCACCAUCUUUGUCUCAAAUUAAGUUAUUUCUAGGUGAGCAAAUAUUUCAAACUUUUGUGAUCAGUAAAAAUCCGACAACGCUCACCAUAUAAAUAAUGUCUCCAAAUUUUCAAUGCGAAGACUACUGCUGCCAACUCCAAGUCAUGAGUAGGGUAAUUCGUCUCAUGCUUCUUCAACUAUCAGGAAGCAUAAGCUAUUACUUUUUCAUCCUGCAUUAAUAUGCACCCUAAUCCCAACUUAGAGGCAUCACUAUAUACAACAAAUCCUCUUCCACUAACAGGAAGUGUUAAAAUGGGAGCGGAGGUCAAUCGGUUUUUCAGCUCCUAAAAUCGACUCUCACAGACAUCAUCCCACUCAAACUUUACUCAUUUACGAGUCAAAUGAGUCAGAGGAGCAGCUAUCAAUGAGAAUCCUUGAACAAACCUCCUAUAAUAACCAACUAAGCCAAGAAAACUACAAAUCUCUUUUACCGUUCUUGGUUGCUCCCAUUGUAAGAUUGCCUCAAUCUUCUUGGGAUCGACAUAAAUUCCAGCUUCGAACACCACAUGUCCCAAGAAAACCACUUCCUUUAACCAGAACUCACAUUUAGAGAACUUGGCAUAGAGUUGUCUCUCGCGUAAAGUUUGUAACACAAUGCGCAAAUGUGCAACAUGUUCAUCAUCAUUCUUCGAAUAAAGCAGGAUGUCAUCUAUGAAUACUAUCACGAAAUUAUCUAAGUAUGGAUGGAACACCCUGUUCAUAAGAUCCAUAAAAGCUGCAGGGGCAUUAGUCAGACCAAACGGCAUCACCAGAAACUCAUAAUGCCCAUAACACGUCCUAAAAGCAAUCUUGGGUACAUCAUGCUCCUUAAUCUUCAAUUGAUAAUACCUAGACCUCAAAUCAAUCUUAGAAAACAACAUAACAUCUCGUAACUGAUCAAAAAGAUCAUCAAUCCGGGGUAAAGGAUAUUUAUUUUUGAUGGUCACUCGAUUCAGCUAACGGUAAUCAAUACACAAUCAAAAAGUGCCAUCAUUCUUCUUUACAAAUAGGACUGGUGCUCCCCAAGGAGAAGUGCUAGGGUGAAUGAAACCCUUAUCCACCAAAUCUUGCAACUGGACUUUCAGUUCCUUUAACUCUGCUAGAGCCAUUCUAUAUGGAGGGAUAGAAAUAGGUGUGAUACUCGGAAGUAAAUCAAUAGGGAACUCAAGCUCUCGAUCAAAAGGUAGUCCUGGUAACUCAUCAGGAAAUACAUUAGGAAACUCACUUACUAUUGGGACAUCCUCUAACUUUGGUUUCCCUUUUGAAGUAUUGAUCACAUGAGCCAAAUUAGCCGGAUACCCUUUCUGUACUAGUUUCAAAGCCUUAAUGAUCGAGAUUACACAGGACGGUAAUACUCGACGUUUCUCGGUCAAUACAAUCUCUGUUCCCUCCGAAUUCUAAAGAACAACUUCUUUCCUGAAACAAUCCACAUUCACCCGAUGUGCAGUUAACCAGUCCAUACCCAAUAUCAAAUUGAAAUCUUGGAUUUCUAAAGGAAUCAAGUCACCCCUAAAUUCUUCCUUACCAACCAUUACUCCACAAUCUCUAUAACAACUGUUUCUAACUAGCUUUUCUCCUAAAGGGGUGUGAACUACAAUUUCUUCCUCUAAGGGUGACAGAUUUCUAUAAGCAAUUGAUGCAAAUGCCAUACUCACAUAUGACCUAUCUGAGCCAAAAUCUAUCAAAACAUAAGUAUCUUUAUCAAAUAAAGACAUAAUACCUGUCACUACUCCAGGUUAGACCCGUGCCUCAUCUUCCGACACAGCGAAAACUCUUGUCGAAGUACAAGUCUGUGGCCUCGAAGGUGGAUAUACCGGGGUUUUACUCUCUACACUAGACUAUAUAGCCAUUCCCUACCUCGGGGGCAACCCAGAAGGAUUUCUCCUCUGUAUAUUCGUACAAGCUGGUGGAGAUAGAGCAGUUACAGUAGCCUGUCUUAGUUGUGGGCAAUCACUACUAAAGUGACCCGGUUGACCACAAUGAUAACAUCGUACUGGUGCCCCUACACUGCCCAACAUGAUUCUUCUCACACCUCCAGAAUCUAUCAGAACCUCCAAAACUCUUCCCAGAAGUAGUCAUCUCAGAUUAGUUAAAUCUCGAAGGCCUAUGCUGUGUCUAUGAAAAUGGAGGUCGAGAAGAUGCUACGGAAGCAGAAGUAGUACUCCCCGAAGCAGAUGACUCCUUGCCUCUUUUUACUGGCUGACUAGAAGAUAUACCAGGAUUCUUCCUUUUUGCAAACUCGGUUCGAAUCCUCAUAUUCUCAAUCGCAAGCUUUUCAGCCUGUAAAGCCAUCUGUACGACCUCCUUAUGUGGCUCCUUACCAGUCACUGUCAUCUGUUCCCUGAUCUCAUUACGGAGCCCUUUUUUGAAAUAACUAACCUGAUAUUGCUCCGAUUUCACUAGAUCCGGCACAUAUAACAUUAGCUCGUUAAAACGAGUUUCGUACUCCUCUAUAGUUAAAUUCCUCUGUUUCAAACUCAAAAAUUCUCUCUUCUUUUCUUUCUGAUGAAAAUAAGUGAAAUACUGACCAUCAAAUUCUCUGAGAAAGUCAGACCAUGUCUGAAGAGUCGUGGAACAGGAAUUCACUGAAUUCCACCAUGUACGGGCUCUCUUCUCUAGUAAUCUCAUAGCCACCAUCAACUUCAUGUCAUCAUCCAACCUCAUAUCCGACAAUGUGUCUGAAACUUGAUUAAUCCAAUCUUUGGCUACGGUUGCAUCCAAAUCGCUCGUAAAAGAAACGUAACCCAGUUGUCUAGCUUCCUUCCACUUCUUAGCAAUAGAUACAUCCUGUACUGGCGUUGGAACUGGAGGUGGGGGUGGUGGUACUAUAGGAGGAGCCUGACCAGCCUAAGCUUGGCCAGCAAUAGCGGUAAAGAAGUUUGCCAAUGCUUGGACUGCCUCAGGAGACAUGGCAGGAGUACCAGUAGGUGGCGGAGGAUGUGAAGAAUGUGGAUAAUGUGGAGGAGUCUUGCCUACUCAGUAACAGGUGCUGCCCGAAUGGUGGAUGUAGCAGAUUUCUCUUCUACUGCAUCUAGCUGACGACGUUGGGAAUGACCUCUUCCUCUCCCAGCUGAUCUAGUGAGAGGUGGGCAUCCGCGUCGAUGAGGCAUGGCAAUCUAUACAAGGGAACAAGGCAAAUUUAAUCAACCUUAGACUCUAUAUGCAAAUGCAUGCAUCCUAUUCAACCUAACCCAACUUAACCUAGGGCCACACUAGCACUGUAAUUUUUUAAAACAACUUUAAAACGAAAAACUUUGAUACCAACAGAAUUGUCACGACCUGAAACUCCGAUCAAGCCUGUGACAAUCGCCGCGACGUCCCGAUAGACAUUCAUUACCCGAAAUGUCAAUCGAAACCUCGCAAGGCUUAACAUCAGUUUUUCUCGCUUCCCCCAUGAGUAUUAGUUACUAAAAUCAUGUUUUGAGAGAUUAUAAACUAUUUCCAAUUCAAAACAAUAGAAAAAUAAAUUUUUCCUCACAAGGGCAUUUUGGUCAUUUUUCCUCAAAAAUCUCGAAAUCAGCUAAAAAUGUAGUAAGCAAGUACAAAACACAUAAUUCAUAAUCAAAAAUGAGUUUUAAAGUUUAAAAUCUUCAUUUAAAACAAAAUUAUGAUUAUUUGGAUAUAAUAAGAAAAAAAAAGAAAUAUUAAGUAAAAUAUUCUAUUUUCUUAUAAAACAAUAUUUAUGGAAUUAUACGUAAAUAAUUUUUGUAAUGUAAAAGCUAAAUAAAUUCAUACAUACUGUAAUACAGUAAGUCAGAGUAUUUAAUUUAAUUUACAAUAACAAGUGGGCCCCCCUAUAUAAACAAAAGUAAAGAAGACUGUGAACCUACAGUUUGAAAAACGCAAUUCCAACGGUAGUCCUCGAUGAGAUCAGCUAUCUACAGCCUAUUAUGAACCUGAAAUGGGUGGAAAGGAGAGUGGUGAGAUUUUAUAAUCCCAGUGAGUAAACAAACAUCAUUCAAAAGAUCUAAAGUCGAGUAAAAGGAGACUAUUAAAACAUUUCAUCUAAAUAUGUUUUUCAUAACAUAAAUACUCAUUUCUUUUAAAUAAUCAACAUGGCUUAUGAGUAUUUUAAAAGCUUGGCUCCUGCCAAAAUCAUUCUAGGGGAUACCUUGGCCGAGGCAUCUAACCGAGUCUGCCAAGGCUAUUAAACAUUUCGUAUACACGUAAACAAAUUAUUAGUUUGAAAAACGCAGCCGUUCCUUGGCGUUAGCGGAGUUCAUCAUCACGAGGUGGUUUGGCGUGACGUGAACUCUAACCAUACCUCAGGAGAUACCCUACGCACCUUUCCGACCAAGGUACAUAUAUAUAUAUAUAUAUAUCCGGAUUCUGUGCCCCUCUAAUAGGCUGGUCCACAGAAUCUGCCUACUGCAGCAAGCUAAACCCACCAUACAAUAAAAUUUUGACGGCAUAACGGGGCUAAUAUUUUACUACCCAGCCUGCAAGGGUAAAAUAAAAUGAUUCAUACAAUUCAUAAAACACAACCCAGCCAGUCAUGCCAACACAAUAACAAUAUAACAUAAGCCAUAAAUUUCCAAUCAUAAAUUUAUAACAUACUGGUGGUCUCCAAUUACUCUAUUUUCAAAAUCGUUAUUUCGUUUCAAGACAAUUUAUAAAAUCUUUUCAUUUAAACACAUUUUUGUUUAUAAAUCCUAAAAUUUACCAUUUAACUCAUUUUCAUAAAAUUUCACCAAAACUGAGUUAAAACAUACUUUAGAUAAUUAAAAUGAUGAUAAGGUUAAUCACAAUGUCUAGAAUGGAGAUUUUUGAAGUACUCAAAUUACUGGUCCUCGGGUGCAAUUCUCUUACCUUUAUCGGAAGACUCACCACCUUAACACAGUACAAAAUCGAGAAACUUACUUCAUUGGUACUAAAUUGAAUUUAAACUAAUUUAGACUACUAAUGCAUGAUAUGGAAUGCAAAAUGCACUGGUAACCAUCUAAUCCUCGGUAUUGGCCUAAUUCGACUUAUCACCCGAUUAAUUGGCCAACGCGUCCAAUUUAGCUCCAAAUUGCUCCAUUUCUUUUCCAAUAUCUUAAUUCACCAAACUCAAGUCAAAUAACCUAAAAUUUGGCAAAACUAUC